CAGGAGGAGAGGGGUCAGGACAAAUUCUCAGAUCCCCAGGAGGGACUGGUCUUCAGAGUCUCAGGAGCAAGGGCGGCGGUGGUGUAGGGAAGCCCAGCGCCAGAGAGUCCGCAUCUCCCCGGGUUUCAUUUCUCCCUUUCACAGCCUGUGUCUGGUCCUCCUGCCUGGAUACCCAUGACGCACAAAUAUUUCGCACUUCCAUUGGGUGUCAGGUUUCUGGAGAAGCCAAUCAGCGGCACCGGGGUUCCAGGUUCUAAAGUCCUCUCCAGGCCCGCCGGGACACCGCUACUUCUCGAACCCUGAGGGUCUGGGUCGCGGGGUCCCGAAACAGACUCCUCUUGCUGGCUUGUGCCCUUGCCGUGACCGAGACCUGGUCAGAUCCCACACUGAGUGGUGAACACAAGAAGCAGGAUCCCCACAUGGCCGUGCAUCAGCCUUUCCUGUAGGGCUGCUUAAGUCAGGAAAGCCACACAACAGACCCAAGGCUGCACAGGCAGGAACAGAAUUCACCUUCACACCCCAGGUCAAGGCCCAAAGAGGAACCACUGCCCCCGGUGCUGGCCACAGGUCCCACUGUUCACACCACUGCACCCUGAGGCCAGGACUGCUGUCACUGCUGCUCCUGGCAGCUGGAUGACAUGAUGGCUACUCAUGCCAAAUGCAUGCAGCACUGUCCCAGCUUCUCUGUCACACACAUCCCAAGUAAGAGUCUGGCAUCUGGUCACCUGAAUGAUGGAACCUCAGGCCCUGUCCCCCUGCAACUACCUGUGACAUCCCGACUCUGAUCUAGAUUCCUGGGGAGUGAUCACCAACAUCCUCCGACUUGAACUCUUCAUUUGGUCUGGUCUCUGCAUUCCUAGCCACAGGCCUGUGAGAGGCCACACAUUCAGGUGGUUCCCAAAGUCACCCCUGCUGGAGGCAGAUCCCAAGAUGGCCCCAGUGUUCCCAUCCUCCGGUAUCAUGCCCUUGUGUAAUAAUACCCACUUUGGGAACAGAAGCAGGACAUAGUGACUUGCUGGUGACACACAGAAUAGAGUGAAGUCAUGCAGUGAGUAUCUGGAAUCACCAGGACGCAAGAUAUGAGGGGCCUGGGGUCCACAGUCUCAAGGUGGGUGGUCCAAGCCAGACUGGAUAAGUGCAGAUUUCUGGUGGAACCCCAUGACAAAAGACUCUGCAUUCCUUUUCCCUCUGAGGGGUUUCUUCUCCAGAUCUCAGCCCCCACAACCACUGCACUCAGACAGGAGGAGGAGGAGGAAAGGUCACCAGCAGGGAUUCUCAUCCUGGCUGCAGUCAACAGGGGAAUUCUGUAAAAAGUACAGGAAGGGAA